rnacentral:rRNA from 1 species
UUAAGCGACUAAGCGUACACGGUGGAUGCCCUGGCAGUCAGAGGCGAUGAAGGACGUGCUAAUCUGCGAUAAGCGUCGGUAAGGUGAUAUGAACCGUUAUAACCGGCGAUUUCCGAAUGGGGAAACCCAGUGUGUUUCGACACACUAUCAUUAACUGAAUCCAUAGGUUAAUGAGGCGAACCGGGGGAACUGAAACAUCUAAGUACCCCGAGGAAAAGAAAUCAACCGAGAUUCCCCCAGUAGCGGCGAGCGAACGGGGAGCAGCCCAGAGCCUGAAUCAGUGUGUGUGUUAGUGGAAGCGUCUGGAAAGGCGCGCGAUACAGGGUGACAGCCCCGUACACAAAAAUGCACAUACUGUGAGCUCGAUGAGUAGGGCGGGACACGUGGUAUCCUGUCUGAAUAUGGGGGGACCAUCCUCCAAGGCUAAAUACUCCUGACUGACCGAUAGUGAACCAGUACCGUGAGGGAAAGGCGAAAAGAACCCCGGCGAGGGGAGUGAAAAAGAACCUGAAACCGUGUACGUACAAGCAGUGGGAGCACGCUUAGGCGUGUGACUGCGUACCUUUUGUAUAAUGGGUCAGCGACUUAUAUUCUGUAGCAAGGUUAACCGAAUAGGGGAGCCGAAGGGAAACCGAGUCUUAACUGGGCGUUAAGUUGCAGGGUAUAGACCCGAAACCCGGUGAUCUAGCCAUGGGCAGGUUGAAGGUUGGGUAACACUAACUGGAGGACCGAACCGACUAAUGUUGAAAAAUUAGCGGAUGACUUGUGGCUGGGGGUGAAAGGCCAAUCAAACCGGGAGAUAGCUGGUUCUCCCCGAAAGCUAUUUAGGUAGCGCCUCGUGAAUUCAUCUCCGGGGGUAGAGCACUGUUUCGGCAAGGGGGUCAUCCCGACUUACCAACCCGAUGCAAACUGCGAAUACCGGAGAAUGUUAUCACGGGAGACACACGGCGGGUGCUAACGUCCGUCGUGAAGAGGGAAACAACCCAGACCGCCAGCUAAGGUCCCAAAGUCAUGGUUAAGUGGGAAACGAUGUGGGAAGGCCCAGACAGCCAGGAUGUUGGCUUAGAAGCAGCCAUCAUUUAAAGAAAGCGUAAUAGCUCACUGGUCGAGUCGGCCUGCGCGGAAGAUGUAACGGGGCUAAACCAUGCACCGAAGCUGCGGCAGCGACGCUGAUGCGUUGUUGGGUAGGGGAGCGUUCUGUAAGCCUGUGAAGGUGUGCUGUGAGGCAUGCUGGAGGUAUCAGAAGUGCGAAUGCUGACAUAAGUAACGAUAAAGCGGGUGAAAAGCCCGCUCGCCGGAAGACCAAGGGUUCCUGUCCAACGUUAAUCGGGGCAGGGUGAGUCGACCCCUAAGGCGAGGCCGAAAGGCGUAGUCGAUGGGAAACAGGUUAAUAUUCCUGUACUUGGUGUUACUGCGAAGGGGGGACGGAGAAGGCUAUGUUGGCCGGGCGACGGUUGUCCCGGUUUAAGCGUGUAGGCUGGUUUUCCAGGCAAAUCCGGAAAACUAAGGCUGAGGCGUGAUGACGAGGCACUACGGUGCUGAAGCAACAAAUGCCCUGCUUCCAGGAAAAGCCUCUAAGCAUCAGGUAACAUCAAAUCGUACCCCAAACCGACACAGGUGGUCAGGUAGAGAAUACCAAGGCGCUUGAGAGAACUCGGGUGAAGGAACUAGGCAAAAUGGUGCCGUAACUUCGGGAGAAGGCACGCUGAUAUGUAGGUGAAGCGACUUGCUCGUGGAGCUGAAAUCAGUCGAAGAUACCAGCUGGCUGCAACUGUUUAUUAAAAACACAGCACUGUGCAAACACGAAAGUGGACGUAUACGGUGUGACGCCUGCCCGGUGCCGGAAGGUUAAUUGAUGGGGUCAGCGCAAGCGAAGCUCUUGAUCGAAGCCCCGGUAAACGGCGGCCGUAACUAUAACGGUCCUAAGGUAGCGAAAUUCCUUGUCGGGUAAGUUCCGACCUGCACGAAUGGCGUAAUGAUGGCCAGGCUGUCUCCACCCGAGACUCAGUGAAAUUGAACUCGCUGUGAAGAUGCAGUGUACCCGCGGCAAGACGGAAAGACCCCGUGAACCUUUACUAUAGCUUGACACUGAACAUUGAGCCUUGAUGUGUAGGAUAGGUGGGAGGCUUUGAAGUGUGGACGCCAGUCUGCAUGGAGCCGACCUUGAAAUACCACCCUUUAAUGUUUGAUGUUCUAACGUUGACCCGUGAUCCGGGUUGCGGACAGUGUCUGGUGGGUAGUUUGACUGGGGCGGUCUCCUCCUAAAGAGUAACGGAGGAGCACGAAGGUUGGCUAAUCCUGGUCGGACAUCAGGAGGUUAGUGCAAUGGCAUAAGCCAGCUUGACUGCGAGCGUGACGGCGCGAGCAGGUGCGAAAGCAGGUCAUAGUGAUCCGGUGGUUCUGAAUGGAAGGGCCAUCGCUCAACGGAUAAAAGGUACUCCGGGGAUAACAGGCUGAUACCGCCCAAGAGUUCAUAUCGACGGCGGUGUUUGGCACCUCGAUGUCGGCUCAUCACAUCCUGGGGCUGAAGUAGGUCCCAAGGGUAUGGCUGUUCGCCAUUUAAAGUGGUACGCGAGCUGGGUUUAGAACGUCGUGAGACAGUUCGGUCCCUAUCUGCCGUGGGCGCUGGAGAACUGAGGGGGGCUGCUCCUAGUACGAGAGGACCGGAGUGGACGCAUCACUGGUGUUCGGGUUGUCAUGCCAAUGGCACUGCCCGGUAGCUAAAUGCGGAAGAGAUAAGUGCUGAAAGCAUCUAAGCACGAAACUUGCCCCGAGAUGAGUUCUCCCUGACUCCUUGAGAGUCCUGAAGGAACGUUGAAGACGACGACGUUGAUAGGCCGGGUGUGUAAGCGCAGCGAUGCGUUGAGCUAACCGGUACUAAUGAACCGUGAGGCUUAACCUU